CUAGUUCUGGUGGCCACAGUGCUAUUUGUUGGUGUGGAAAAUCCCUACCCUUAAUCUCUUUUGCUCAAUAGAAACUACAUUCUGGGGAAGCUGAGCAUCCACCAGACUCUCUAACCCAAAUACUACAAGUUUCAGCAGCGAAGAUAGUAAAGCUGGAAGCUCUGAGGCAAGCGUGUCUGUACAGAGUCCUGGAUCUCUACAGCAACCUCCAGAUGCUGACUUGCCCAGAAGGUGUGACAAGGGUUCUGAACAGCUUUGGCUACAAAAAUAAUGGUGAAGAAGUAGCCCAAGAGGUCGCUCAGACUAGAGAGAAACAGCAAGUAUGGAGAGCAGUGGCUUUUCUGCGGAAGCACCAUCAGGAAGGAGAUUUGCUUCAAGGUUUAAAGGAAGAGUCGGAAGCUGAGCUGAGAAAAAUGCAGGCACAAUUUAGAUGGGAGCUUCAAACACAGACAGAAGAAAAGAUACAAGCCAAAGAAACACAAGUGAUCCAGGAGACCGAAGGAGAGAAGUUUGGGAAUUUUGUGGCGUAUUUCAUCCUGUCUCAGAGACACCUGCGGCAAACAGUCAUUCUGCUACAAGAUUGCUUCAAGCUCAAGAAGAUUGCCUUGAGGUCCCAAAAGGAAGGCACAGGCCUGGAACAGCUUGUUGUAGAAGAGUUAUCGACUGAUGAUGACACCAGGGACAUUUCACAUCUCCUGAAGGAGAAUACAGAAUAUACAUUUUUAGUGCUGGAAUUUAUACAAACUGUAAGAUUAUUACAACUGAGAGAGGCACAGUUUAAGGAAAUAGUCAGAAGCCUGAAAGGCUGCAUCCAGGAGAAGUUUGUGGAUGAAGCUAACACCAUAGCCAAUGAACUGAAAAAAUUCAGAGAGCAGAAAAUGAGAAGGCUGAAGGAACAGCUGAAACUCUUCCUGGAAAAUCAAAGAACAAAGAAGAAGAUUUCAAGUAAAUUUGAUCCAUUGCAGAACAAAGAUGCCACCUUGAAACCAGAAGAAACAACAGAAAAAAGAAAAGACCUCUGGCAGACUUUCCAAGAGAAGCAUCUGGACCUCAAAGAACCUCACAUGUGGCAAAUAUCAGAUGAAAGAGCAAAGCUGCAGGAUCAUCUGCUCUGUGGAGAAGAGAAGAGCAGGAUGGAGCCUGCAGGGUUUGGUUCUACAGCAUACCCUGAGCAGCACGACAGGAACUCAAUGAAAGAAUGCAGUGAAACAAAAGCUUUCCUAGGAAAGGAUUUUCAUCCAGAUUUACAGAAGUUGAGAGAGAGACCAGAAGAAGAGGAGCAGCAAACCAACAGUGCUCCAUCAUCCAUCAGCCAGCCUUUCCAGCUUCCAGUGAUGCAUCCUAAGGCAGAUGACCAGCUCCUGUUAUUCUUAACUAAGAAUCUCCAAGAGCUGAAGCAGGCAGAACACCUGAUGGCGUGCAGAAUCGUUCAUCUGAACCCACAGUUCAUGACACCUUCUCAGUAUGGUGGUGAUAAAACUAAAUGUAUAAAAGCCUCUUUUCUCCUUGGUCUUCUGAAAGAUGUGAAUGAUGAGCUCCAAAGUCACGCAGUGGCAGCUGGACUACUGGGAAGUCAAAGGCUGGAUGAAAAAACAGCAAAUACUUCGCAGGGUAUAGACGAUGCCUUGAUGACUCAGGAAGGGGGACUAACAGCAGUUGAUCCUGCAACCCUUUCUGCGAGAGAGUUUGUCAUUUAUCAGUACGGCAUCUCCAUCCUACAGCUUCUCAGAUCUCACAUUGAUGCUCCAGAAGUUAACCUGCGUGUUGCCUCCAGAAUACCUCCUAGCAAUGCCACAGGCAACGCCUUCAGAAACUCUUUCUUUUAUCAGAAGUCAAAGAACAAGCUAUUCAUUCUAAGGGAUUGCCUGAGUUCUGUGGGAAGUUUCCUUCUCCUCCUCGUGCACUGCUUGGCUCACAUCACGGCUGCUGACUUCAAUCACGAUGCCAACCCACUCUUUCUGAGGCUUUUUUAUCAGGCACUAAAGGCUUGUCUUAGUGAAACAUUCUCUCUCAAACUCCAGCUCUCAGCAGUUCUACACAGUGAGAAAUCUUAUGAGAUAAGUCAGAUGUUGCUAAAGGAAGAACCAUUCUCCAAGGAGGAAAUAAAUCUCAUCUCCCAACUUUUUGAGGUGAAAGUAAAAAGUCUGACAGACACGGAAGCCUUUGAGAAGAACCACCUCUUGCUCCAGACGAAAUUUCAGGAACCACUAAAUGACAAAUUGCUUGCAAAGAAAAAGGAGCAUUUCCUUCAUGCCUCGAGUGGGUACGAAAAGGGCAGCUUGGGGUGGAGGACACGCUUUGAAGAGGAAACCUGCGCUUACUUGUCCCCUUCAGAACUUGAGGAUAAAGUGGAUGUGUUAACUGAAGAGCUAGUGAAUAUCAUAGAGGAUGAACAUCAGUUUUUAAACAGUAAAGGCAAUGAAGACUUGCUUUUUUACUACCUCGAAAUAACUAGUUUGGAGAAAGACUGUUUGGUAAAACAAAUAAAUGCAUUAGAAGAGAAAAUAGCCCUAGGCAGAAAGUUGUAAUGGUACUCCAAAGAGGACUUAGUGGUUUGGUUUUAACUGGGUCCUCUGCAUUUGUCCUCAGGCUUUAAGCCAAGGUAAAUCUUGUAUUGUUGUUUUAACUACAGUGUAUUUUUUCCCUUCAUAUUAAAGGCUCAUUAAAUUAGGAGUGAAAGCAAUGUAGUAAUUUAACUGACAAGACUUUAGCCUAAGUGACUGACAUUUCUGGUUAUAUCCAAGUGGUGAAGAGACAAACAUGGCUGCAAAAGCUCAAACUGAAGAGUUGCCAGAAACAGAAGAAAAAUAUAGAAUCACUCAUAAGUCUGCUUAGUGUUUAAAAAAAUUAACUAACAUAUCACUCCAC
rnacentral:lncRNA from 1 species